AGGGGCGUAGCUCAAAUGGUAGAGCGCUGGUCUCCAAAACCAGUGGUUGGGAGUUCGAGUCUCUCCGCCCCUG
rnacentral:tRNA from 1 species